GCCGGUGUCGCGGAAGUCAAUGUUUCCGCGACCGGAGGGACUGUCAUUGUAAAACAUGACCUUCCGGACACGGAAACAUUGCGCGUCCGGAUAGUGGCUCNNNNNNUAUUGGCACCGAGCACGUGUUUGCAAAGGUGGACCCAACUGUAGGUCAAUCAACGCACGCGCAUCAGGACGGUCACUCCCACGAUCAUGGUCCAAUCGAUGGAU
rnacentral:misc_RNA from 1 species